CUACCUUUUAACUCCUAAUUCUACCCAAACCAUUUCAUUCUCUCAAAUACCCAAUUUCUAUCAAACUUCAUUCUUUGAAGGAAGAAAUCUAGGGUUCCAGCUUCAAAUCUCCCUUUUCCUCCAUUGCUUUUGGGAUUUUUUUUUAAUCAAGAUUUUUACCUACACUGUCUAAUAAUUUAGGGCCUAACAAUCUUCAUCAUCCGGCUCGUGGCUAGUAGAUUGUCUUGUAGAUCAAAGACUUGGUUAGUCCUUGUACAUUGAUGGACAUGUAACCUAUGUGUGUUGUCAUUUUUAUUCUUAUGUUUUCAGACAUUGUAUUUGGUGUAUGGGUUACGUGUAAACCACUCUUUGCUUUACUAGAUAAAGAAGAGAGGAUAGUUGAUGUGGGUCCUCUUCAUUGAAAGAAACUUAAGGGGGCUUUCCAUAAAUGAUUCUUUCCUCUUGAGAUGAUAGAAACAAAUGUGAUUGAGAUCAUUUAUCUUUGUCAAGGAAAUAUGAAUAUGAAGGAGCAUUAUUUGAAGUUCUCUCAAUUUUCUAAGUGUGCUCCAACUAUGGUUGCUGAUUUAAGGAAAGAAUGAGUAAGUUUGUGUAAGGUGUUUCCAAUUUGGUUGUCAAAGAAUGUUUUACCACUAUGUUAAUUAAUUGCAUGGCUAUCUCCCAUUUGAUUAUAUAUUCCACACAAUAUGAAGAGGAAAAUCUCAAGGAAAGUCCAUGAUAUUCCAAGAGGGAGAGGACUAAUGAGGGUGAAUUUGAUCAUCGUAGGUCCGCUAGACUUGGGAGUCUUUUAUUCUGGUAGAAGUUUUUUGGUCAGAGUUAUUCUAUGUCUCCAACCUCUGAGUUCAAAAAAAUUGGUUGUAUAAUCCAAAACCUCAAAGAGGUAGUUGUAAGGGAUCCUUUACAUCUAAUUGCAGUAGGCAUGGUGAAAAAUAUGAUGGAAAAUGGUUGGCUGGUACGAAUGGUUGAUUUAGUUGAGGAAAGAGUGGCACAAAUAGAAGAAUUGUCCAUUGCAAGCAAGGAAGUUUAAGGAUGGAAGACAAUCUCAACCUAGUGGUUCCAUAUCGAUUGCUCCUAAUCAAAACAUGUUUUGUGCCUUCAAAAUCAGUAGGAUCAUGAGGGAUCUCUGUAUGUUACUAUGUAAAAAGUCUUUCACCUCGAUGCUUAUGCUUAAUUUGAUAUGGCUACUACGUUAUGAUUUUUA